rnacentral:rRNA from 1 species
AGCGAACGCUGGCGGUAGGCCUAACACAUGCAAGUCGAACGGCAGCACAGUAAGAGCUUGCUCUUACGGGGGGCGAGUGGCGGACGGGAGAGGAAAACAACGGACCCUACUUUUUCGGGGGGGAUAACGUAGGGAGACUUACGCUAAGAUCGCAUACGAUCUACGGGUGAAAGCAGGGGAUCUUCGGACCUGGCGCGGAUGAAUGAGCCGAUGUCGGUUUAGCUAGUUGGCGGGGUGAUGGCCCACCAAGGCGCCGAUCGGUAGCUGGACUGAGAGGAUGGUCAGCCACACGGGAACUGAGACAGGGUCCAGACUACUACGGGAGGGAGCAGUGGGGUAUAUUGGACAAUGGGGGGAAGCCUUAUCCAGUCAUCGCGAGUGUGUGACGGAGGCCCUCGGGGUGUAAAGCCCUUUUGUGGGGAAAGAAACGCAUCAGGUUGAUACCCCGCUUUAGUGACGGUACCCGAAGAAGAAGCACCGGCUAACUUCGUG